rnacentral:rRNA from 1 species
UACGAAGGGAGCUAGCGUUGUUCGGAAUCACUGGGCGUAAAGCGCACGUAGGCGGGUUUGUCAGUCAGGGGUGAAAUCCCGGAGCUCAACUCCGGAACUGCCCUUGAUACAGCAAGCCUUGAGUCCGGAAGAGGUAGGUGGAAUUCCUAGUGUAGAGGUGAAAUUCGUAGAUAUUAGGAAGAACACCAGUGGCGAAGGCGGCCAUCUGGACCAUUUCUGACGCUGAGGCGCGAAAGCGUGGGGAGCAAACAGG